AUGUGGAACAUCAAGCUAGUUUGGCAAAAUUUUCUUCACCCUAACGCAGAAGCUAUCCUCAACAUUCCUCUGAGUGCAAAUGGUGGGGAAGAUAGCCUUGCUUGGGCUCUAGAAAAAUCGGGCAACUACACUGUUAAAUCGGCGUAUCGUUCUCUUGUGACUCGAAACGAGCUUCGUGCUCAUGACGAAGGGGCGAUUACAGAAUCUUCAUCGGCAAAUAAACAGAUGUGGGCUGCCUUGUGGAAGCUGCAUGUGGUACCGAAAAUGAGGGUCUUC
rnacentral:rRNA from 1 species